GCUACCAUAUGGUUGCUGGGAAUUGAACUCUGGAAGAGCAAUCAGUGCUCUUAACCACUGAGCCAUCUCUCCAGCCAGAAACGCUAAAUAAAGUUAAUCCAAAUGAAAUGAAAUUUAAAGGGUAGUUCCUUAGCCACCCUCAACAGGCACUGUGUCAGCUAGCACACAGAUUGACCAUGUCUUGUUAUAGAUGAUCCCAGAGACAGUCUGAACUUGAUAUAUCUUGAGAAUCUUUUAAAUAUCUAGUGCAGUCUUGAUAGAAGAAAAAUGUCUGAAUGUCUAGAAUAUGCUCCUAGCCACAUUACCUAGACUGUAUUCUCAAGGGGUUUUUUGUUUUGUUUGUUUUGAGGCGAGGUUUCUCUGUAUAAGUCUGGAUGUCCUAGAGCUUGUUCUGUAGAGUUCUCCUGCAUCUGCCCUCUGAAUGCUGGAGUUAAAGGCAUGUGCCACCACUGCCUGGUUUAGUUUUUUAAAAAGAAAAAAAAUGCCUCCAAGGAUUGCCCCACUAUCCUCACAAAAAGAAAGAAAAAAAAAUACUGAAAUAUACUGAGGAAGGGAUUUGGUUUUAGGAAUGCCUACUUUUUGGUGUUUUGAGAUAGGGCCUCACUGUGCAGUCUCGGCUGGCUUGGCACUCACUGUGUAGACCAGGCUGUCCUCAAACUCCCAGCUUCACUUGCCUCUGCCUCCCAAGCGCUGAGAUCCAAGGUAUGCACCACCACACCCAGUGGGAUUUAAUGUCUGUGUUCAGUUUAUCCUUUCCCUGCUGCCUCUUUCCUAAGCUUCUAUGGCCUAGCUAUGAGAACUAAAGAGUUGUGGGGUUUUCCCUCAAUAGUUUUUAACAAGAGGCCAUGUGAAACUCUUGGGCCAGAUGUCAGUGAAGUGUUCCUUGUAUAGACAGCUUAAGGUAUGGCCGGUGCCCCUAGGAGUCAGAGAGUAGGUUGUUGGCAGCUUCCUGUCCCAGCAAGGCCAAGGUGUAAGUGGCUUUAAUCUUGCUUCCUCCUUCCCUCUGCUUCCACGUGGUUGCUUUGACAAUUGGGCGAAAGCUCAUAUGAAGUAAACGCUAUUGCUUCACAUUUAGACAGGAUCUUUUUUUUUCUUCCUAACUUAACUAAUAAAUGUAAUGUUACUUAAGCACAAAUUGGCCCUCAUAGUCAAAAGUGGCCUGUGGAUUUUAUAAGUAUAAUCAGUUCUUGAUUGUCACAUACAGAUUAUCUCUCAUGUAGAUUACUUGUGACACAUUUUAAAUCCUUGGGCAGUUUCUCUAAGCAGGCCAGUGUAAGCCUAGACCCUCCCCACCACUCCCUGCCCAGCUGCUGGGUGCUUAGGAAAUACAAAUUAGUUUUCAUAUUAGCUUAAGGAAGACAUAAUUAGGAAGGGAGACCUGCUGCAAAAAAACACAUCAUAACUGCUACUUUAGGACAGACGCCAUCAGGAGGACCCGACUCACCCUCUGGCUCGACUAAGGGCUGGCUGUAAAGUAUGCAUUUGUAAAUGCACACGCCACAUACACUCAGUGAACUGCUGUGUUGAUGAGCUGAAUUUGCUAAAAAUUUCACAGAACACUGCGCCAAGGUGUAUGGGAAGCUGCAAAGCUUUGGCAGGUUCUAGUGUCCCGUCCAGCCCAGCGCCUUUUAACAGUUCUAUGUUCUUGUCAGGCCUCUUUAUGGCAGACUGUGGAGGUUACAAGUGGAUCCUGGCAAGAAGGCUACAGGUGGGUUCGUCUUUGGGGAGAGAAGGAAGCAGCUGAGGGCACAGUCACUGCAGCGCUGCCAUUUCAGGCUCUGCUUCUUCUAUGGAUGGCCUGAGUCCUUUGUAAAGAGCUUGUCCCUGGCGGACAAGAUGGCUAUGCGAGGAUAGUUCAGAUGCGAGAGACAGAGAAAGUGACUGGUCACAAUGACUGGUUUUGGCGAAUAAACGGACUCCCAAGAUGUUGCCAGUCCUACCAGUGAAGAAGAAGAAACCUUUAGCUGUCACAGUAGGGGAGCGGCUGCACUAGACCCUGAUAUGGGGUUUCGGCCCUACAGGCAUCGUUGGAGCAUUUCAAAGAGGUCACUGCAAUACGUCAGUGAG
rnacentral:lncRNA from 1 species